UCAGGGGAGCAAGCGAGGGAGAGAAAACCAUUUCUAAGCCGUUUUCUCAUCCCUUUCCAACAGGGGCAGUGCACCUGUUUGCGGCGGGGGCUGGGCGGGGGUCCCGGCCUGGCGCUCGCCUCCCCCAGCCCGGGCACCUCGGCUGGCCCCGCUCGCUGCGGGCUCCCCCCGGCCCGUCGGGGCUGGCAGCGCCCGCUCCCCUCCGCGGCCCCUGGCUGUCGAGCGCUGCUGCUCCUCCCCGUGCGACGCUUCUGCCUGCUGGGGCAUCCUCGGUGAUGCUCUGAAGCAUGGUCCCCACCGUCCCCCCGCAGUGGCACUGCCCCAAAGCAUCAGGCGCACCCAUGGGACGUGUCAUCCCUUGGGGAACACCAGGACGAGCUGUCAGAAGUGGGCAGCUGGCAGCUGUCAGAAGUGGGCAGUUCUCCAGCAUGGUCAUUCACAUGUUCCAGCUCCUUGGUCUUCCACAUCUUGAAAGUCAUCUCCUAAGGAAGAGGCACUUUUCUGUCCAGUGUUUGCUACCAGACUGAUCUUGGCUAGCAUCCCUAAAAGCUGUGGGUUGUGAGAGGCCAGGCCAACAAAGAAGUUUAAUAAGGUAAUUAGUAAUUCAGCUACUUCUUUUUAUUUCUCCUCUGUGGCAACUUGCUACUCUUGACCUUUUUUUCAAAUCUUUCCUUGCUUGUUCCUCCCCAGAAGGACUUUCUGGCUUCCAAGCACUAUGCUCAAUAUGCAAGGCUAGAAGUUCCACUACCAACAUGUUCCCCCACGUGUUAUUUAUUAUUCAUAAACCUCCCGGGUUUCAGUGUCACUCUGAGUUAGCACAAUUUUUCAUAUGGUUGUUUAGCACUUUGCAACGUGGCACAUAUUCAGUAAGAGGAGACUUUUUAAACAUGCACACACACACACACACACAUACAGAAUAAGGUCAUUAGCAUAUUCUGAAUGUUCAAGUCCAACUCUUUGGAAAAAAAUAUUUGAAAACACAGUAAUAAAGUUGUUACAUUCAUAAUAAUAAACA
rnacentral:lncRNA from 1 species